AAUUAUAAAUUAAUCUAAACUGAAUAAUUAAAUUAUAUUAUAUUUCUUUUAAAGAUGAAAUUUCUAAUAAAAAUAAUUCUAUAAUUUUAUAUAAAAAUUAGUGAUAAACCAGGAUUAGAUACCCUGUUAUUCUAAUAAUAUACUCUAUUUCAACAAAAUACAAAAUAAAUUUGACGGUAUUAAAAAUUACAAAGGAAUUUGUUUCUUAAUCGACAAUCCGCGCUUUACCUUACUUAAUAUAUAUUUGUAUACCACCGUAUUGAAAUUAUACUAAAUAAAUUUCAAAAUAAAAAAUCUUAAUAAAUCAGGUCAAGGUACAAUUUUAUUAAGAUGAAAUGAAUUACAUUAACAAUAUUCACUAAUAAAAAAAUGAAAAAUUUUUAUAAUAGAAUUUGUAAGUAAAAUUAUAUCAUUAUGUUAAUUUGAAAAUUAUCAUUAAUAUG
rnacentral:rRNA from 1 species